rnacentral:rRNA from 1 species
UGAGACCACAGCAUCACAUGGUGCAGGGGUCAAAGGAGCAAUCCGGUAAGGGGUGGGCUCGCGUCCGAUUAGAUAGUUGGUGAGGUAACGGCCCACCAAGUCGACGAUCGGUAGCCGACCUGAGAGGGUGAUCGGCCACAUUGGGACUGAGACACGGCCCAAACUCCUACGGGAGGCAGCAGUGGGGAAUAUUGGGCAAUGGGGGGAACCCUGACCCAGCAACGCCGCGUGAGGGAAGAAGGUUUUCGGAUCGUAAACCUCUGUCCCAGGUGAAGAGGAAGAGACGGUAGCCUGGGAGGAAGCCCCGGCUAACUACGUGCCAGCAGCCGCGGUAAUACGUAGGGGGCGAGCGUUGUCCGGAAUGAUUGGGCGUAAAGGGCGCGUAGGCGGCCCGGUAAGUCUGGAGUGAAAGUCCUGCUUUUAAGGUGGGAAUUGCUUUGGAUACUGUCGGGCUUGAGUGCAGGAGAGGUAAGUGGAAUUCCCAGUGUAGCGGUGAAAUGCGUAGAGAUUGGGAGGAACACCAGUGGCGAAGGCGACUUACUGGACUGUAACUGACGCUGAGGCGCGAAAGUGUGGGGAG